UACGGAGGGGGCUAGCGUUGUUCGGAAUUACUGGGCGUAAAGCGCACGUAGGCGGCUUUUGCAAGUUUAGAGGUGAAAGCCCGGGGCUCAACUCCGGAAUUGCCUUUAAAACUGCAUCGCUAGAAUUGUGGAGAGGUAAGUGGAAGUUCCGAGUGUAGAGGUGAAAUUCGUAGAUAUUCGGAAGAACACCAGUGGCGAAGGCGACUUACUGGACACAUAUUGACGCUGAGGUGCGAAAGCGUGGGGAGCAA
rnacentral:rRNA from 1 species